rnacentral:rRNA from 1 species
GACGAACGCUGACGGCGUGCUUAACACAUGCAAGUCGAACGGAAAGGCCCUGCUUUUGUGGGGUGCUCGAGUGGCGAACGGGUGAGUAACACGUGAGUAACCUGCCCUUGACUUUGGGAUAACUUCAGGAAACUGGGGCUAAUACCGGAUAGGAGCUCCUGCUGCAUGGUGGGGGUUGGAGAGUUUCGGCGGUUGGGGAUGGACUCGCGGCUUAUCAGCUUGUUGGUGGGGUAGUGGCUUACCAAGGCUUUGACGGGUAGCCGGCCUGAGAGGGUGACCGGCCACAUUGGGACUGAGAUACGGCCCAGACUCCUACGGGAGGCAGCAGUGGGGAAUAUUGCACAAUGGGCGGAAGCCUGAUGCAGCAACGCCGCGUGCGGGAUGACGGCCUUCGGGUUGUAAACCGCUUUCGCCUGUGACGAAGCGUGAGUGACGGUAAUGGGUAAAGAAGCACCGGCUAACUACGUG